GUGGGAAGAAGACCGUGCUGGAGGUGGGCCGGGGCGGGGCAGGGGUGGGAAGGAACAGAUGCCGGCGCAGGGCAGCGGUGGAGUAAGAGCACGGCAAAAUACAAGGCAGUGACAGAACAAGACAAAACAGGAGGGUAGUUAUACUCGUGGGGACAGGGAUGACGCACGAGACACCGAUACAAACAGGGACUUGAGCCAGGAGUGAGACAAAGGUUUGGGGCAGGGAUGAAGCUGGAGUAGGAGUGAGUUAGGACAGGGGUUGGGAUGCAGGGGGUGCAGGAAGACGUGCCGCCAUUGAAGAGCAAGCAAGCAGUCAGUCGGAACGCUUUGAUGCUCCCAGGACCAGAACAUGCGCCCACGUGGGGGAGACGCGGCUCGUGCCUCGUGGCUCCAGCCUUGCGUGACUCUCAUGCCAGCUAAUUAACUUUUCAAUUAGUACCUGGAAUUACCACGUUUUUAUCAGAUGUUACAUGGAAACUUAGUAUCAUGGAAGAAUAUUGCGUGGUGAAAACUGUACGCAUCGUCUGCUUAGGGAAAAUUGCAAGUGUGUGGAGCUUGUGUGUGGCCAAUAUUCUCUCUCUCUCCGCGUUGAUGGGAGCGAGGGAGGGGGCCGGCCGGUCUGUCAAGCAGGGCUAUUUUUUUCCUGCCAGCCAUCAAGAAGAGCUACACGUCAGCCUGCCGACCACGCAAGGAGGAGGCAGGCUGCGUGGGACUGGGAAAAAGCACAGGGAGGAGGGAAGGAGCGAGGCGGUGGGGUGGGCAACAUGCAACAUUUGGCGUAAGAAUGUUCGUGGUCUGCGUCACCAGCUGGCAUGUGUGAGGUGUGCUGGCGAUCAGACAAAUGAGUGAAGUGAGCGAUGGAGAAAAGUGUACGUAGGAUGAAGUGGCGGUGCUUGCUUAACGUAAACUUUCUCUACAGUUUGGAGGGAAUGAAUCUGUGUCGAGGCGGUGGAGGAAGUGAAGUACUGGUAGUGUUCCAUUGUGCGUUCUCCUGCACCGCAAACUGAAGAACGUACGUACGGAAGGUUUGGCAAUCCGGAGAUAGAAAGCGGAGAUAUGCAGCGGCAACCUCGCUCAGACUGGAUCAUACGUACGUGCAGGUGUUAAUUAAGCAGCUCACGCUGAAUACACACCUGAGAACACCUCAGCAUGUAUGCUUUCAGCAGCUUGUACGCGAAACGGUUAAGCUCUCCUUCUGACAUCCCCGCAACACGUAUACCACAUGCACGUACGCACAGCCAUCAUACACAUACUCUUGACACAGCACACAUUCUUGCACAUAAAAUGGAAUCAAGAGGGAGACAAAAAACACAACACAGCCAUAAAGAUAACAAUCAAAACACACUUCCACAACCUUUACCUUACAAACACUGGUACAGGAGACACUGAGGCACGAAACUAAGCGAUGAAGGGAGAGUGUAUAGAGAGAGUCAAGAGGUGAGAAGUUGACGAGAGGAAUAGCUUUGGACUCUGCUACCCCGCUCACUGCCUUGUCUGGUGGGUGGGUAGGUAGGUGGGUGGGCGGGGGUGUGCUCCAUUCAGGGGGCGAGCAAGGUCCCGGCGUGAGGUCAGCGUGUGGGGGGAAGCGAGGACUGAGUGACGGAAGCACGCCAGAACGCAGGACUUCUUGAGGAAUGAUUGCACAAAGAGUGAGGCGGUAAAUUUUGUAUCUUGAUUUUGGUUCGAUUGUUGUGAAACAAUGGUUGUGUUGGGUGUUGCUAAGAGAGAGAGAGGCGUAAUCACCACAUGUAUAGGUGUGUGUGUGUGUGUGUGUGUGUGUGUGUGUGUGUCAGCGUACGGCGUGUGGCAGGUGGAGUCUUAAGCAUGGUGGAUAAGACAGUGAAGACGAGUGAGAUGAGUGAUAAGGGAACAGAGUGGUCAGUCUGGGAAUGAAUACGAGGCAGGGAGAUCAGUGAUAAGACGAGGAAUGGAUGAUUAAAAAGACCACAGUAACCACUUAUGACGCGUCUUACCACCACCACUGCCGGCAACAGCUGCGAGGAGUCUCGCCAGAGGUGUGUGUGCCACUCUGAAAGAAAACUAAACAUGCGCAAGUCAGCAAGUACUGAAGGACUGUUUGUAUGCUCAGCUAUGUUGUACGCUUCACCGCCCCGCCGCCCUAUACGCGCGUCAUUCUACGCCACCCCGCCAGGACCAUCACAGCUGUUUUUUUUUUAAACCCCCGUCCCUUGCUUGUCCCUCCUCAGCGACCGCAUCCCACAUACAGGCUGAUCCCGACACUUCCCUGACGUUUGUUUCCACCAAACUGCCGCCGCCAAGUUCACUUUCCCCACAUUAUCACCACCGCGUUACCUUCCUUUCCGCGGCGGGCUUUACGACACCCUCCUGUCCCCCGCCCCAGCCCACUCCCGUCCUCACACUCCGCCCCCUCAGCUGGCGACCUUCCUCUGCCUUCUUUCUCCAACAGGCCCUUCUGAAGCUUCUUCCUUAGAGAUCUGCAGGUGGCGGUGGUGAAAGUGACGGUGGGCGGCUCGGGCGGCGACGGCGCAGCAGCAGCAGAAGCUGCGGCAGCCGCGACAGUGGAGAUUCCCGCGCGGCGCCGCGCCACCACCAGUGCUGGUCCGGACGUUGUGUGGUGUGGGUGUGUGGCCGGCGCUCCCGCCUCGUGUUCACUCGUGGCCGCGACUCGGAGUGGCGUGCGGCGCAGGAAUCAGAAACUCGUGCUGAAACACAGUGCCGCCCAGUGCCGUCCAGGCGUGACUUGACACCCCGUAGUGUUGCGAGACGCCCGGUGGCCAGAAACACACCUCAGAGGACCUGGACAAUACUCUCUUGUGCUGCCCCGU